GCCUCGGUAGCGCAUUAGGCAGCGCGUCAGUCUCAUAAUCUGAAGGUCAUGAGUUCGAUCCUCACUCGGGGCA
rnacentral:tRNA from 1 species